CACGAACCGGAACCUAAAAGGUCGCUGCUGCUAGCUUAAACCGUCACACCACCAAAUGCUAGAUUUAGCUACUAGUUUGACUUGAAAUGCGUCACUUUGUAGGAUUUAUUUCUAAAUUUAGAUUAAAUCGAACCUUUUUACUUUUCUUGUGCCACCCGUGCGGUUAAACAACAACGCAGUGAAGCCGGAGUUGUUGUUGAAAGUUGAUGACGGUGUAACGAAGAUUUGUGUCCACCGAGUCCGAGAUGGGCAGGAAGGCCACUUUUGCCUUCCUCGAUAAGGUGGAGCUUUUUGUGCGCACAGGAACUUUUCCUGCAGAUGCAUCGAAGAGCUCCAGGAAAGUGACCAGAGCUGCCAGCAAACGCUUUUCAUACAAAGAUGGCUGCUUGUGGAGACACUUUCGGGGUCGCCUCCUCCAGGUUGUCAGGAGUGAUGAGGAAGUGCGAGAGAUCCUGACUCGUUACCAUGACAACAACAACCACGCCGGCCAGGGGCGGGCAGUUAAGGAGAUAAUGGUGACUUUAAGUUAUUUGGAUGUUUGUGAUGUUCACAAUACAAAUGCAUAACUGAGGCC
rnacentral:lncRNA from 1 species